AAUUUGUGUUGCGGACAACGUGUGCAAAGCUUUUUAAAUCGCUCCCAAAAGUCAUAAAGACUUUCUUCGCUCUUUUGCUGAAUGAAAAAAAUGCUCAUUCACAACU